UACGGAGGGUGCAAGCGUUAUCCGGAUUCACUGGGUUUAAAGGGUGCGUAGGUGGGUAGGUAAGUCAGUGGUGAAAUCUCCAAGCUCAACUUGGAAACUGCCGUUGAUACUAUUUAUCUUGAAUAUAGUGGAGGUGAGCGGAAUAUGUCAUGUAGCGGUGAAAUGCUUAGAUAUGACAUAGAACAUCGAUUGCGAAGGCAGCUCGCUUCACUAUUAUUGACACUGAGGCACGAAAGCGUGGGGAUCAAACAGG
rnacentral:rRNA from 1 species